rnacentral:rRNA from 1 species
CGUAAAGCGUCCGCAGGCGGCCUUCAAGUCUGCUGUUAAAAAGUGGAGCUUAACUCCAUCAUGGCAGUGGAAACUGUUGGGCUUGAGUGUGGUAGGGGCAGAGGGAAUUCCCGGUGUAGCGGUGAAAUGCGUAGAUAUCGGGAAGAACACCAGUGGCGAAGGCGCUCUGCUGGGCCAUCACUGACGCUCAUGGACGAAAGCCAGGGGAGCGAAAGGGAUUAGAUACCCCUGUAGUCCUGGCCGUAAACGAUGAACACUAGGUGUCGGGGGAAUCGACCCCCUCGGUGUCGUAGCCAACGCGUUAAGUGUUCCGCCUGGGGAGUACGCACGCAAGUGUGAAACUCAAAGGAAUUGACGGGGGCCCGCACAAGCGGUGGAGUAUGUGGUUUAAUUCGAUGCAACGCGAAGAACCUUACCAACACUUGACAUGUUCGUCGCGAGACUAAGAGAUUAGUCUUUUCAGUUCGGCUGGACGAAACACAGGUGCUGCAUGGCU